rnacentral:rRNA from 1 species
UACGUAGGGUGCAAGCGUUGUCCGGAAUUAUUGGGCGUAAAGAGCUCGUAGGCGGUCUGUCGCGUCGGCUGUGAAAACCCGGGGCUCAACCCCGGCCUGCAGUCGAUACGGGCAGACUAGAGUGCGGUAGGGGAGACUGGAAUUCCUGGUGUAGCGGUGAAAUGCGCAGAUAUCAGGAGGAACACCGGUGGCGAAGGCGGGUCUCUGGGCCGUAACUGACGCUGAGGAGCGAAAGCGUGGGGAGCAAACAGG